GAGUUUGAUCUUGGCUCAGAGCGAACGCUGGCGGCAGGCUUAACACAUGCAAGUCGAACGGAUCCUUCGGGAUUAGUGGCGGACGGGUGAGUAACACGUGGGAACGUGCCUUUUGGUUCGGAACAACACAGGGAAACUUGUGCUAAUACCGAAUGUGCCCUUCGGGGGAAAGAUUUAUCGCCAUUAGAGCGGCCCGCGUCUGAUUAGCUAGUUGGUGAGGUAAAGGCUCACCAAGGCUACGAUCAGUAGCUGGUCUGAGAGGAUGAUCAGCCACACUGGGACUGAGACACGGCCCAGACUCCUACGGGAGGCAGCAGUGGGGAAUCUUGCGCAAUGGGGGAAACCCUGACGCAGCCAUGCCGCGUGAAUGAUGAAGGUCUUAGGAUUGUAAAAUUCUUUCAGCGGGGACGAUAAUGACGGUACCCGCAGAAGAAGCUCCGGCUAACUUCGUGCCAGCCGCCGCCGUAAU
rnacentral:rRNA from 1 species